rnacentral:rRNA from 1 species
GACGAACGCUGGCGGCGUGCUUAACACAUGCAAGUCGAACGCUGAAGCUUGGUGCUUGCACUGGGUGGAUGAGUGGCGAACGGGUGAGUAAUACGUGAGUAACCUGCCCUUGACUCUGGGAUAAGCCUGGGAAACUGGGUCUAAUACUGGAUACGACAUGCCACUGCAUGGUGGUGUGUGGAAAGGGUUUUACUGGUUUUGGAUGGGCUCACGGCCUAUCAGCUUGUUGGUGGGGUAAUGGCCUACCAAGGCGACGACGGGUAGCCGGCCUGAGAGGGUGGCCGGCCACACGGGGGCUGGGACACGGCCCAAACCCCUCGGGGGGGCAGCGGGGGGGAAUAUUGCCCAAGGGGGGGAGGCCUGAUGCAGCGACCCCGGGGGGGGGAUGGCGGCCUUGGGGUUGAAAACCUCUUUCCGCACGAAAGAAGCGGGGGUGACGGUACGUGCAAAAGAAGCCCCGGCUAACUACGU